UACGUAGGAUCCGAGCGUUGUCCGGAUUUACUGGGUGUAAAGGGCGCGUAGGCGGCUCGCCAAGUCAGGGGUGAAAUCUCCCGGCUCAACCGGGAAACAGCUUCUGAUACUGGCGGGCUGGAGGGAGGUAGGGGCGGAUGGAACUUCCGGUGGAGCGGUGAAAUGCGUAGAUAUCGGAAGGAACACCGACGGCGUAGGCAGCGCCCUAGACGAGACCUGACGCUCAGGCACGAAAGCGCGGGGAGCGAACAGG
rnacentral:rRNA from 1 species